GCGUCCGUGGCAAAGUGGCUAAUGCGAGAGCCUGCAGAGCUUUAGAUCGAGGGUUCGAGUCCCUCCGGGCGCUCCA
rnacentral:tRNA from 1 species